GGCUUCAGAAGGUCGGUAAUAACAAACUUCACUGAGCUAAAGAAGAAUGUUCUAACUCAUCGCAAGGAAGCUAAAAACGUUGAAAAAAGGUUAGAUGAAUGGCUAACUAGAAUAAACAGUGUAGAGACAUGGUGAAACCCCAUCUUUACUAAAAAAAAUACAAAAAUUAGCUGGUCGUGGUGGUGCAUGCCUGUAAUUCCAGCUACUU
rnacentral:lncRNA from 1 species